rnacentral:rRNA from 1 species
GUGCCAGCAGCCGCGGUAAUACGUAGGAUGCAAGCGUUGUCCGGAUUUACUGGGCGUAAAGCGCGCGCAGGCGGCAUACCAAGUAUUCAGUGAAAUCUCCCUGCUCAACGGGGAGGGUGCUGAGUAGACUGGUAAGCUAGAGGACGGUAGAGGGGGGUAGAAUUGCUGGUGUAGCGGUGAAAUGCGUAGAGAUCAGCAGGAAUACCCGUGGCGAAGGCGGCCCCCUGGGCCGUUUCUGACGCUGAGGCGCGAAGGCUAGGGGAGCGAACGGGAUUAGAAACCCCCGUAGUCC